GGGGGGGCGAGCGUUGUCCGGAAUCACUGGGCGUAAAGGGCGCGUAGGUGGUUUGAUAAGGGUGUGGUGAAAGCCCGGGGCUCAACCCCGGGUCUGCCGUGCCGACUGUCAAACUCGAGGGCUGUAGAGGCAGACGGAAUUCCGGGUGUAGCGGUGGAAUGCGUAGAGAUCCGGAGGAAGACCGGUGGCGAAGGCGGUCUGCUGGGCAGUUUCUGACACUGAUGCGCGACAGCGUGGGGAGCAAACAGGAUUAGAUACCCUGGUAGUCCACGCCGUAAACGAUGGGUACUAGGUGCCUGGGGGAGCGACCCUCUGGGUGCCGGCGCUAACGCAGGAAGUACCCCGCCUGGGGAGUACGACCGCAAGGGUG
rnacentral:rRNA from 1 species